GGAGGAGGAGGAAGAGGAGGAGGAGGAGAUGAGGAAGAUUAAUUUCUAACUGAUUUCUUCAUUGGACUGAGGACUCUGAGCUUUUGAGUUAAGCAGCCUAUCCUUUGGAGAUUUCAAAUGACGUGGCUGUGCUACAAUUUCUGAAGAGAAAAAUACCAUUUAAAAUAUCUACGUUUAUCUUUAUUUUCAUAAUAAAAAACACUCAUAUGAGACAUUUCUACUCCUGA